AGGACGAACGCUGGCGGCGUGCUUAACACAUGCAAGUCGAGCGGAAAGGCCCUUCGGGGUACUCGAGCGGCGAACGGGUGAGUAACACGUGAGCAACCUGCCCCUGGCUCUGGGAUAGCUCCGGGAAACCGGGAUUAAUACCGGACAUGACCUCCUCCCGCAUGGGUGGGGGUGGAAAGUUUUUCGGCCAGGGAGGGGCUCGCGGCCUAUCAGCUUGUUGGCAGGGUAAUGGCCUACCAAGGCGACGACGGGUAG
rnacentral:rRNA from 1 species